GAUGAACGCUGGCGGCGUGCCUAAUACAUGCAAGUCGAGCGAAGCGGGGACGGGUGAGUAACACGUGGAUAACCUCCUAUAAGACUGGGAUAACUUCGGGCAGCCGGAGCUCAACCGGAUACUCAUAGAUGGAUCCGCGCUUCUUUAGCUAGUGGGUAAGGUAACGGCUUACCAAGGCAACGAGGCAUAACCGACCUGAGAGGGUGAUAGGCCACACUGGCACUGAGAAACGGUCCAGACUCCUACGGGAGGCAGCAGUAGGGCAUCUUCCGCAAUGGGCGAAAGCCUGACGGAGCAACGCCGCGUGAGUGAAGAAGGUCUGCGGAUCGUAAAACUCUGUUAUUAGGGAAGCGGUACCUAAUCAGAAAGCCACGGCUAACUACGUGCCAGCAGCCGCGGUAAUAC
rnacentral:rRNA from 1 species